GGUCCCAUAGUAUAGUGGUUAUUAUAUCGGAUUCCAAGUAAUCCGCUCUGAUCAGAGCAGGCUAAGAUAUCCGAGGGUCAUCCGUUCGAUCCGGAUUGGGAUCA